rnacentral:lncRNA from 1 species
UUUAAUUUCAGAAUAAAGGCUUCUGCAUGCUGAUAUUCAGUGAAAAAUCUGAUGGAUCCUUUAUCUGAAAGAAGGGAGUGAGUCCUAAACAGUUUGUAAUUUUAUAAUGCUAGCCAAAUUUGGACUUUUUUUUUGUUUUUCUUGUUUUCAAAUUAUACAUGCAUACUGCAGCCACACUAUUGUAGACACUAAAAGUACAGUUACAUGUUUGUUUUGUUCUUUUUAUUUUUAGACUCACUCUUCUAAACAUAAUGGGUCAUUUGUUUUCAUGAGAAAAAGUGAAAGUUUUUUUUCUGAUUAUUCAUAUUAUAUUGAAGAUGUGAGCUUAAUAACUUGAACUUGAUUUUCCUAUUAAUUUCAUUUCACAUGUAAAUAAUGCUUUUAAAAUAUGUUUACUUGAUAUCUCAUGUUCAAAGUGUCCUUAACAGCUAGUCAUAUUUGAAGAUGUUCGAGAUGCUGAAGAUGCUCUUUAUAACCUCAAUAGAAAGUGGGUAUGUGGCCGUCAGAUUGAAAUACAGUUUGCACAAGGUGAUCGCAAAACACCAGGCCAAAUGAAAUCAAAAGAACGUCAUCCUUGUUCUCCAAGUGAUCACAGGAGAUCAAGAAGCCCCAGCCAAAGAAGAACUCGAAGUAGAAGUUCUUCAUGGGGAAGAAAUAGGAGGCGGUCAGACAGCCUUAAAGAGUCUCGACACA